rnacentral:rRNA from 1 species
AUUGAACGCUGGCGGCAUGCCUUACACAUGCAAGUCGAACGGCAGNACGGGAGCAAUCCUGGUGGCGAGUGGCGAACGGGUGAGUAAUAUAUCGGAACGUGCCCAGUCGUGGGGGAUAACGUAGCGAAAGCUACGCUAAUACCGCAUACGAUCUAUGGAUGAAAGCGGGGGAUCGCAAGACCUCGCGCGAUUGGAGCGGCCGAUAUCAGAUUAGGUAGUUGGUGAGGUAAAGGCUCACCAAGCCGACGAUCUGUAGCUGGUCUGAGAGGACGACCAGCCACACUGGGACUGAGACACGGCCCAGACUCCUACGGGAGGCAGCAGUGGGAAUUUUGGACAAUGGGCGCAAGCCUGAUCCAGCAAUGCCGCGUGCAGGAUGAAGGCCUUCGGGUUGUAAACUGCUUUUGUACGGAACGAAACGGUGAGCUCUAAUACAGUUUGCUAAUGACGGUACCGUAAGAAUAAGCACCGGCUAACUACGUG